UAGGGAAUCUUCCGCAAUGGUCGCCAGUCUGCCGGAGCAACGCCGCGUGAGUGAAGAAGGAUUUCGGUUCGUAAAACUCUGUUGUUAGAGAAGAACAGCGCAUAGAGUAACUGUUAUGCGUGUGACGGUAUCUAACCAGAAAGCCACGGCUAACUACGUGCCAGCAGCCGCGGUAAUACGUAGGUGGCAAGCGUUGUCCGGAUUUAGUGGGCGUAAAGCGAGAGCAGGCGGUCUAUUAAGUCUGAUGUGAAAGCCCCCGGCUCAACCGGGGAGGGUCAUUGGAAACUGGUUGACUUGAGUGCAGAAGAGGAGGGUGGAAUUCCAUGUGUAGCGGAGAAAUGCGUAGAUAUAUGGAGGAACACCAGUGGCGAAAGCGACUCUCUGGUCCGUAACUGACGCGGAGGCUCGAAAGCGUGGGUAGCAAACAGG
rnacentral:rRNA from 1 species